CCCUUCGAUGUUCUGGGCCGCACGCGCGCUACACUGAUGCAUUCAACGAGUUUCUUCCUGGUCCGAGAGGAAUGGGUAACCUUUUGAAAGUGCAUCGUGAUAGGGAUAGACUAUUGCAAUUAUUGGUCUUCAACGAGGAAUUCCUAGUAGACGUAGUUCAUCAGACUGCAUCGAUUACGUCCCUGCCCUUUGUACACACCGCCCGUCGCUCCUACCGAUUGAAUGCUCAGGUGAGCCAUUCGGACCUUCAUCAUGCCGGUUUCCGGUUUUGAUGAGGGAAAGUCUUGCGAACCUUAUCAUUUAGAGGAAGGAGAAGUCGUAACA
rnacentral:rRNA from 1 species